GACAUUGAAGAGGGCACUCAGGGAGGCCCCUGUUGGGCUUGUACUCUGAAAGGGGUUUGCUUAUCUUUUAUCUCACAGACAGAUUGUGUAUGACUUGGCUGGAGGGCUGAGUCAGCAAAGACCCACCACUAAACAGCCCAAUGUGUCAUCAGCAACCAGCUUUAUGUUGGACAACUUGCAUACCAGGACCACCACCAUGCCCCUAUCCUGGCAUAAAGGAUGGAGGCACAAGAUAUAGUUGCAGUGAAGAUGCACCAGUGGGGAAUUCACCUCCAGAAUUGGCUGCUGGACUUUUGCAGUGUGAUUAUAGCAUCUUUGUACCUCCAGAGUGGCACAAAGGGACAACAACCUAGCUUGUGAAUCUGGCCAAUGGCAUAUAAAAUGAUAACAGCAUGCAGCGUGGCUGGCUAGUGACCCUUCUCAAAUUAUGCAACUUCACUAAUGUUCUGGGCACUGGAACAAGGGAUGGCUGGGUAGGUAUGCAGAUAGCACUUUCAACUCCAGCUCCAGUUCUCAAUUUGCUUCACAAACCAUAGUUUAUUUAGUCUCACAACAAGCUAGGGAAAUAGUAUGAUUCUCUUUUUACAGAUGGGGGAAGCAGAAUCUCAGAGCUUGGGUGAACUGUUAAAGUUUGUGGUAGAGGUGGGUAGAGGACACAGGUCUCCCAACCUACAGUCCGCGCACACGUACAUGUAAAUCCUCAAACAUUAGUUUGACUGGCAGCCUGGAUAAUUCCCUGUAAGGCUUAAGUUUAAAAAGGAGCAACAUUCUCACCCUGCAAAAUGAAGAAAAAAUUCACAAAUCAUAUGUGCCAGAGCUGAGGUUACAGCUGCAAGCAUCUGCUCUCAGAUUCAUACAUUGGCCAUGAACAUUUUGAUCUACUCCUGUGCUAUUAGGAAAUAGCUGGGCUACAACAGCUGAGUUACUCCUGAGGGUGAAAUGCUGGUACAUGGCAAUAUUCGCCAAAAGAAAUAAUAUUCUGCUGUGAAACUAUUAACCCAGUGCUCAAAGGCUUCUUUAGCCCCAGACUGUCCAUAUGAUAAGCAGAAUUCAGCUACAACUGGGAAUAGAGGAGGCAGAGGUGCUUCAGGGGAAAGCACAGAAAGCUGCUGUCAGAAUUCAUGUCUGAGUAGCACAGUCUACAUACACCAUGGGCUGUUACAUAGCUGAUUUUUUUUCUCU